UGAGAGUGAUCAAGCGCGAUAAGGGCAUUUGGUGGAUGCCUUGGCAUGCACAGGCGAUGAAGGACGUAAUACGCUGCGAUAAGCUACGGGGAGCUGCAAAUGAGCAUUGAUCCGUAGAUUUCCGAAUGGGGCAACCCACCUUAGGUGUCUAGGAAAGUAUACUAUUAAGGUUUAAUUUUCUAGGUACUUGAAGGUAUCUUUACCUGAAUAAAAUAGGGUAAAAGAAGCGAACGCAGGGAACUGAAACAUCUAAGUACCUGUAGGAAAGGACAUCAAUUGAGACUCCGUUAGUAGUGGCGAGCGAACGCGGAUCAGGCCAGUGGUAGGGAAGAUUUAAGUAGAAUUAUCUGGGAAGGUAAGCCAUAGAAGGUGAUAGCCCCGUACACGUAAUAAUUUUUUCUAUCCUUGAGUAGGGCGGGACACGUGAAAUCCUGUUUGAAGAUGGGGCGACCACGCUCCAAGCCUAAGUACUCGUGCAUGACCGAUAGUGAACUAGUACCGUGAGGGAAAGGCGAAAAGAACCCCUACUAGGGGAGUGAAAUAGACCCUGAAACCGAAUGCCUACAAACAGUCGGAGGCUGUAAAGCUGACGGCGUACCUUUUGUAUAAUGGGUCAACGACUUAGUGUGGCAAGCGAGCUUAAGCCGAUAGGUGUAGGCGCAGCGAAAGCGAGUCUGAAUAGGGCGUUUAGUUUGUUGCAUUAGACCCGAAACCGAGUGAUCUAGCCAUGAGCAGGUUGAAGGUUGGGUAACACCAAUUGGAGGACCGAACCCGUAUCUGUUGCAAUAGAUUGGGAUGACUUGUGGCUAGGGGUGAAAGGCCAAUCAAACUCGGAGAUAGCUGGUUCUCCGCGAAAUCUAUUUAGGUAGAGCGUUAACUGAAUACCCUCGGGGGUAGAGCACUGGAUAGGCUAUGGGGGCUUACCGCCUUACUGAUCCUAACCAAACUCCGAAUACCGAGGAGUAAUAGUUGGCAGACACACAGUGGGUGCUAACGUCCAUUGUGGAGAGGGAAACAACCCUGACCUCCAGCUAAGGUCCCGAAGUCAUGGCUAAGUGGGAAAGGAAGUGAAAAUCCCAUAACAACCAGGAUGUUGGCUUAGAAGCAGCCAUCAUUUAAAGAAAGCGUAGCAGCUCACUGGUCUAAAAUUAAGGAUUUUUGCGCCGAAAAUGUAACGGGGCUCAAGCCAUGCACCGAAGCUGAGGAUUUGUUUAUUUUUUUUAAGAUAAGCGAGUGGUAGCGGAGCGUUCCGUAAGCUGAUGAAGGAGGAUCUGUGAGGACUUCUGGAGGUAUCGGAAGUGAGAAUGUUGACAUGAGUAACGAUAAAGAGGGUGAGAAACCCUCUCGCCGAAAGACCAAGGGUUCCUGCUUAAAGUUAAUCUGAGCAGGGUUAGCCGGCCCCUAAGGUGAGGCGGAAACGCGUAGCUGAUGGGAACCACAUUAAUAUUUGUGGGCCUGGUGUAAGUGACGGAUUAAGUAUAUUGUACAUCUUUAUUGGAUUAGAUGUGCUUUGGAUUAAUUCCAGGAAAUAGCUUCACCGUAUAGACCGUACCCGAAACCGACACAGGUGGUCAGGUAGAGUAUACUAAGGCGCUUGAGAGAACUGCGUUGAAGGAACUCGGCAAAUUGCACGCGUAACUUCGGGAUAAGCGUGACCUUUUUUUUGGGCAACCAGGAGGAGGUGUCACAGAUUAGGGGGUAGCGACUGUUUACCAAAAACACAGGGCUCUGCGAAGUCGUAAGACGAAGUAUAGGGCCUGACGCCUGCCCGGUGCUGGAAGGUUAAUAGGAGGGGUGAGAGCUCUGAAUUGAAGCCCCAGUAAACGGCGGCCGUAACUAUAACGGUCCUAAGGUAGCGAAAUUCCUUGUCGGGUAAGUUCCGACCUGCACGAAUGGCGUAACGACUUCCCCACUGUCUCCAACGCAGACUCAGUGAAAUUGAAUUCCCCGUGAAGAUGCGGGGUUCCUGCGGUUAGACGGAAAGACCCCGUGCACCUUUACUAUAGCUUUACAUUGGCGUUUGCGUUGAUAUGUGUAGGAUAGGUGGUAGGCAUUGAAGUAGAGGCGUUAGCUUUUGUGGAGCCAUCCUUGAAAUACCACCCUUAUCCAUGUGGACGUCUAACUGCGCUCCGUUAUCCGGGGCCGGGACAUUGUAUGGUGGGUAGUUUGACUGGGGCGGUCGCCUCCGAAAGAGUAACGGAGGCGCGCGAUGGUAGGCUCAGAGCGGUCAGAAAUCGCUUGUUGAGUGCAAUGGCAUAAGCCUGCCUGACUGUGAGACUGACAAGUCGAGCAGAGACGAAAGUCGGUCAUAGUGAUCCGGUGGUUCCGAGUGGAAGGGCCAUCGCUCAACGGAUAAAAGGUACGCCGGGGAUAACAGGCUGAUGACCCCCAAGAGCUCAUAUCGACGGGGUUGUUUGGCACCUCGAUGUCGGCUCAUCGCAUCCUGGGGCUGUAGAAGGUCCCAAGGGUUUGGCUGUUCGCCAAUUAAAGCGGUACGUGAGCUGGGUUCAGAACGUCGUGAGACAGUUCGGUCCCUAUCUGCCGUGGGUGUAGGAAUAUUGACAGGAUCUUUCCCUAGUACGAGAGGACCGGGAUGGACGUAUCUCUGGUGGACCUGUUGUUAUGCCAAUAGCAUAGCAGGGUAGCUAAAUACGGAAUGGAUAACCGCUGAAAGCAUCUAAGUGGGAAACCAACCUGAAAACGAGUAUUCCCUAUCAGAGCUGUGGGAGACUACCACGUUGAUAGGCUGGAUGUGGAAGCUAGGUAACUAGUGAAGCUGACCAGUACUAAUAGCUCGAUUGGCUUGAUUGCUCUUAUUGU
rnacentral:rRNA from 1 species